rnacentral:rRNA from 1 species
AUACGGAGGAUGCAAGCGUUAUCCGGAUUUAUUGGGUUUAAAGGGUGCGUAGGCGGUUUGCUAAGCGGGAGGUGAAAUGCCGGCGCUCAAGGUCGGAAGUGCCUCCCGAACUGGUGGACUGGAAUGACUCUGCCGUGGGAGGAAUGUGUAGUGUAGCGGUGAAAUGCUUAGAGAUUACACAGAACACCGAUUGCGAAGGCAUCUCACGAAGGGUUGAUUGACGCUGAGGCACGAAAGCGUGGGGAUCAAACAGGAUUAGAUACCCUGGUAGGCCACGCAGUAAACGAUGAUGGCUAACCGCUGGUUUUUUCGGAUCAGUGGCCAAGCGAAAGCGAUAAGCCAUCCACCUGGGGAGUACGACCGCAAGGUUGAAACUCAAAGGAAUUGACGGGG